rnacentral:piRNA from 1 species
UCCUGAUCUCUGCGUCGACACCUGCCU